rfam:Cerapachys biroi unplaced genomic scaffold scaffold334, whole genome shotgun sequence.
UUACAUCUACCCUGUAGAUCCGAAUUUGUUUGAUAAGAGGCGACAAAUUCGGUUCUAGAGAGGUUUGUGUG